rnacentral:rRNA from 1 species
UACGUAGGGGGCAAGCGUUGUCCGGAUUUAUUGGGCGUAAAGAGCGUGUAGGCGGCCAGACAGGUCAGCUGUGAAAACUCGAGGCUCAACCUCGAGACGUCGGUUGAAACCGUCUGGCUAGAGUCCGGAAGAGGAGAGUGGAAUUCCCGGUGUAGCGGUGAAAUGCGCAGAUAUCGGGGAAGAACACCCGGUGGCGAAGGCGGCUCUCUGGGGACGGUACUGACGCUGAGACGGCGAAAGCGUGGGGAGCGAACAGG